rnacentral:rRNA from 1 species
AGCUCCAAUAGCGUAUAUUUAAGUUGCUGCAGUUAAAAAGCUCGUAGUUGGAUUUCGGGUGGGGCCUGCCGGUCCGCCGUUUCGGUGUGCACUGGCCGGGCCACCUUGUUGCCGGGGACGGGCUCCUGGGCUUCACUGUCCGGGACUCGGAGUCGGCGAGGUUACUUUGAGGAAAUUAGAGUGUUUCAAGCAGGCACACG